GGAGAAAUGGCAGAGUGGUCGAAUGCGACGGUCUUGAAAACCGUUUUCCGCCUUCCGGCGGAACGGGGGUUCGAAUCCCUCUUUCUCCG
rnacentral:tRNA from 1 species